GAAAUGCGAUAAGUAGUGUGAAUUGCUGAAUUCAGUGAAUCAUCGAAUCUUUGAACGCACAUUGCGCCCCUUGGUAUUCCAUGGGGCAUGCCUGUUCGAGCGUCAUUUGUACCCUCAAGCUCUGCUUGGUGUUGGGUGUUUGUCCCGUCUCCGCGCGUGGACUCGCCCCAAAGUGAUUGGCAGCCGGCGUACUGGUCCCGGAGCGCAGCACAUGUCGCGCAAACGAGUGCCUUGGUACGGCGGCGUCCAUAAGCCCCUCUCUCACGCUCUUGACCUCGGAUCAGGUAGGGAUACCCGCUGAACUUAAGC
rnacentral:misc_RNA from 1 species